rnacentral:rRNA from 1 species
UACGUAGGUGGCUAGCGUUGUCCGGAUUUACUGGGCGUAAAGAGCGCGCAGGCGGUCGUUCAAGUCGAGUGUGAAAGCCCCCGGCUCAACUGGGGAGGGUCACUCGAUACUGAUCGACUCGAAGGCAGGAGAGGGAAGCGGAAUUCCCGGUGUAGUGGUGAAAUGCGUAGAUAUCCGGAGGAAUACCAAAGGCGAAGGCAGUGUCCUGGCUGGCAUCUGACGCUGAGGCGCGAAAGCUAGGGGAGCGAACAGG